GACGAACGCUGGCGGCGUGCCUAAUACAUGCAAGUAGAACGCUGAAGGAGGAGCUUGCUUCUCUGGAUGAGUUGCGAACGGGUGAGUAACGCGUAGGUAACCUGCCUGGUAGCGGGGGAUAACUAUUGGAAACGAUAGCUAAUACCGCAUAAUAGCAGUUAUUGCAUGAUAACUGUUUGAAAGGUGCAAUUGCACCACUACCAGAUGGACCUGCGUUGUAUUAGCUAGUUGGUGGGGUAACGGCUCACCAAGGCGACGAUACAUAGCCGACCUGAGAGGGUGAUCGGCCACACUGGGACUGAGACACGGCCCAGACUCCUACGGGAGGCAGCAGUAGGGAAUCUUCGGCAAUGGACGGAAGUCUGACCGAGCAACGCCGCGUGAGUGAAGAAGGUUUUCGGAUCGUAAAGCUCUGUUGUAAGAGAAGAACGAGUGUGAGAGUGGAAAGUUCACUCUGUGACGGUAUCUUACCAGAAAGGGACGGCUAACUACGUG
rnacentral:rRNA from 1 species